rnacentral:ncRNA from 1 species
UUAUUUUUAGCGCCUGGCCAAUUUUUAUUUGGUGACGAGGAUGAAGUUUAUCGAAAAAUUCGGCGGAUACUUCAUGGCAUCUUACUGUCAUAAGAUAUUAUUAAAAAAAUAGUAGCAAUACUAUAACAAAGGUAAUAUU